rnacentral:rRNA from 1 species
GACGAAGGAUGCAAGCGUUAUCCGGAUUCAUUGGGUUUAAAGGGAGCGUAGGUGGUCUUCUAAGUCAGUGGUGAAAUCUCUCGGCUUAACUGAGAAAUUGCCAUUGAUACUGGGGGACUUGAGUGUAGUUGCCGUUGGCGGAAUAUGACAUGUAGUGGUGAAAUACAUAGAGAUGUCAUAGAACACCGAUUGCGAAGGCAGCUAACGAAACUAUAACUGACACUGAGGCUCGAAAGUGCGGGGAUCAAACAGG